UCCAUACAUAACUCCGAACUUUCUCGCGCCUGCCAAUGUCGAACUCAAUGAGUUCUACCUAGGUCCUUUCUUCAACAAUGUAGAGGCAGUCGAACAGGCGGCGGUGGGCCAACUGUUUCCUUGUACUCAAGGCCCUCCAUUUCUAAACUCUCUGCCGCUGGGGCCACUUCGCGAAAGAGGUAUUCGCAUUUGGCCUAAAUCUGAU
rnacentral:lncRNA from 1 species